rnacentral:misc_RNA from 1 species
GAUGAAGAACGUAGCGAAAUGCGAUAAGUAAUGUGAAUUGCAGAAUUCAGUGAAUCAUCGAAUCUUUGAACGCACAUUGCGCCCGUCAGUAUUCUGGCGGGCAUGCCUGUUCGAGCGUCAUUACGCCCCUCAAGUCCCCUGUGGACUUGGUGUUGGGGAUCGGCGAGGCUGGUUUUCCAGCACAGCCGACCCUUAAAUUAAUUGGCGGUCUCGCCGUGGCCCUCCUCUGCGCAGUAGUAAAACACUCGCAACAGGAGCCCGGCGCGGUCCACUGCCGUAAAACCCCCCAACUUUUUAUAGUUGACCUCGAAUCAGGUAGGACUACCCGCUGAACUUAAGCAUAUCAAUAAGCGGAGGA